GGCGGAUAAGGGGAGCGCUGUGGAGCGCGGGGCCUGACGGGACUUGUAGUCCUGGCUCGGUUAAGCCGCCAUGGAGCCGCUGUGCAUGACGGGGCUUGUAGGCUCAAAGUCGCUAAAAUGGCGCCGACACCAGGCCCCGCCUCCAGGUGCUGUUCCCGGGUGCUGAUUGGUUGCAGACAUUGAUAGGCGGGAGCCUCAGCCAAUGGGAGGCGGCAGAGGCGGGACCAGCCCAUUCAACCCCUCCAGUCCCUCCCAGUAAAACCCAGUUAAUCCCAGUCCAGGCUAGUUCCUCCCAGUACAGCCCCAGUGCCCCUCCAGUCCCUCCCAGUGCAGCCCAGUUUGCCCCUGUGCCUCCCAGUAUCUCCCAGUUCUACCAGUGCCACUCCCAGUUCGUCCCAGUCCAUCCCAGUUUGUCCCAGUGCAUCCCAGUGCCACUCCCAGUCUGUCCCAGUGCUCCCAGCAUCCCCCAGUGUCACUCCCAGUUCAUCCCAGUAUCCCCCAGUUCAUCCCAGUCCUUCCGCGGCCAAACCUCUGCCCUCCCCCAUAUUUGGCCACGCCCCUUCCAUUGGUCACGCCCCCUCGUUCCGUGCCCCGCCCCCUCCCAUUUCUCCCCCGCCCCCAUUUCCAGUUCCCGCGGCUGCUCUGGGAAGUUCUGUCCCUGGCCAGAGGCGACACCCCGACUGGUGUCACCUGCACGUCGGUGGCCUCGCGGUGGCCGCAGUGCUGAGCGUGCUGGGGGUCGUCGUCCAGUGGGAAGUGCAAGUGCCGGAGCAAGGCCAGGUGAAACCCGGGGACAUUUGGGGACAAUUUGGGGACAUUCGGGGACAUUUGGGGUCAUCGGGGGAUUUGGGGACGUUGGGGGAUGACAUCGGGGACACUUUUUGGGGGAUUUGGGGACGUUUUGGGGACCUUGGGGACACUGAGGGGGAUUUGGGGUUGGGGGAUUGGGGACAUUUGGGGACAUCGGGGACAUUUGGGGGACACUUGGGGACAGUCUGGGGACACCUCAGUGUCCCCUCCCCUCCCCCGCAGGCACCGCCCCCCCCCCCCCCCCCCCGAGCUGUCACCUCUGGCUGGGACAGGAGCCUGAGCUGUCCCCAGGUGUCCCCAAAUGUCCCCAACAGGUGACACCGGAUGGGGGGGAGGGGUGGCAUUGAUUUCCCCCAAAUGUCCCCAAAUUUUCCCCAAAAUGUCCCCAAGAAAGGC
rnacentral:lncRNA from 1 species